rnacentral:rRNA from 1 species
UACGGGGGGAGCAAGCGUUGUUCGGAUUUACUGGGCGUAAAGGGCGCGUAGGCGGCCACCGCAAGUCGACUGUGAAAUCUCCGGGCUUAACCCGGAAAGGUCAGCCGAUACUGCGGGGCUAGAGUGCAGAAGGGGCAACUGGAAUUCUCGGUGUGGCGGUGAAAUGCGUAGAUAUCGUGAGGAACACCUGCGGCGAAGGCGGGUUGCUGGGCUGACACUGACGCUGAUGCGCGAAAGCUAGGGGAGCGAACGGG